rnacentral:rRNA from 1 species
CCGGCAAACGGGUGCGGAACACGUACGCAACCUACCCAUAACUGAGGAAUAGCCGGGGAAACCCGGAUUAAUACUUCGUAACAUAAUGAAACGGCAUCGUUUUAUUAUUAUAGCUCCGGCGGUUAUGGAUGGGCGUGCGCCUGAUUAGGUAGUUGGCGGAGUAAUAGCCCACCAAGCCUACGAUCAGUAACUGGUGUGAGAGCACGACCAGUCACACGGGCACUGAGACACGGGCCCG